ACUAACCCAAAUGAAGGCUCAAGGGGUUGUAUUUACAGCCUCCAGCUUCGGUCACUUUCAUCUGCUUUGGAAUUCGCCAAGUGUUGCUUCGGACUUGGCCAAACAAGGCUUCCUCUACCUGCCGGACACGUGGCAGACAUGGAGCGAAAAGAGGGAUUUUGUCCGAUCGAAUCCACAGAAUCUUGCCCAUAUCUUCUUUUGCGAUUUUUCUCACUUAUUCUUGUCAGAAAUUGACACGUGGCAAUCUUGUCGGGUGUAAGAUACACUGAACGGACAAGAGUUGGAUUUUCUCGAUCUUUUUGAUACUUUCUCGAUCACACUAAGCCUCUUCGAGUAUUCUUCGAUAAACUCCAUAAUUCUUCAAAUAACUUUCUUGGAAUCGUCGAGUCUUUGAUCAACAAUACCAGCAAAACCUUCGGAUAGGCUUCAGAACAUAUCACAGUUGAUACUCUUGAUUCUCUCUCGGUCACGGCAAGGUCUUCUUCAACAAUCUUCGAUAAUUCUUCGUUCUUUCAAUAAUCUGUCUCGAUAGAACAUCUUCUCUGGCAUUUUAAACACUUUAGGUCGAGACACUUUCUUUGCUAUCGGCUCCAAUCUCCUUGUGUACGAUAACGUACGUCUUCCGGCAGCACCAUUAUGAACAUCUCUUGAUAGAUUAGCUUUUCUAUCGAUAACAUAUCGAUAAAUCAUCCUCAUUAUCGGUUUUAGGACUUUCCAUCGAAGAAAAUCCUUAAGCUAUCGAUCAAAUGCAUCCUUGGUUCGAUGACCCUUCAUUGCUCCGGUGGCCAUCGUACUUAUCUUGAUAAACUGCAAAAUUAUUCACAAGUCUCUCGAUACAACUUUCUUAAAUUAUAUCCUUCUUCUUCCUGAGUUCUUUCCGGCACCUUUCAUCGAUGAUAUUUGUUUCGGCAGCUACUUCAUGGUGCGGGUCACUACACCCAUGGUCUCUAUUUAUAGUGGGUUCUGAAAACCCUAGAAUGCAAAAAGACAAAAUACUAAGUCGGUUCAACGUGAGCUCGAUUGGGUGCAAUGCCUUAGUUGCAAAUCUGGUCCUUCACUCCAUCCGAUUGGGUCAGAUAGUGCCUUGGUCGGUCAGCUUCAUUUGGUCGGCAGAGAUGUUUUGGGCGUGCAGUCUUCGAUCUGGAUAUAUAUACUUUUACUAAAACAGUGAUAACUCUUGAACCACAACUCGGAUUGGGUUCAAAUCACCGGCAAUGGAAAGAAAACUCAAUUUCUAACAACGUUGGUGAAUACCUCGGAAACUAAAACCCAACUUAAGAUCUUCAUUCGAAUCGAUCUUUGAGGGACUUAUACCGCAUCCGAUCGAAUGAUUGUUUGACGUGGUCGAGUCGGUUGGUCGAGUGCCUUCUUUUUUCAUUCUUGAUGCUUACAAUUCUCUUGUUUAGUCCCAGAAAUGAAAACAACACCUUCCUUCUCUUUUAGAGCUCCAAAACACCUAAUAAUACUCGAAAUUCACAAAAUAUGCAAUGCUAAUGCAAAAACAACCUAAGAGUGCAAAAUGAAGGAAAAGAGACUAUAAUGCAUAUGAAACAAGACUCAAACUAUGAAAAACAUGCAGCAAAAGUAUGCCUAAAUUGGGUAAAAUAUGGAGUUAUCACACGUGAAGUAGAGAAAGACGCUCAAAUCAACUAUCUCAUAGAGUGCAACAAGCAUCUCCUCGGACGGUUUCCUGAUUUGCAUCCAGCUACUUAUACGAGGGAUCCGAAAUCACCUACGACUGCGGACAAUCCGAGUUUGACUCUGACAGCCCCUGAAGAUAACGACGAUGAAACCCAAGAGUAAUGAUUUCUGGUACUUUUAAAAACUUGAACAUUUUUAU
rnacentral:lncRNA from 1 species